CCGGGGUUGGCCCCGCUCACGUGGGUCUGCCCGGCCCUCCCCGCCCCCUCCCACCUGCGGGAGGCGGGCCGGGCUCGGCGGGCGCCGUGGCCUCGCGGGGGAGGGGCGGGGGCCCGAGGAGGAGGUCGGGUCGGGCCCGCGCGUACAAUAGCUCGGCUGCAGCUGGAGCCCGAGGUGCUGGCGGCGCAGCAGACGCCCCGCACGGCUGCCCCCGCACGCCCCCUCCCUGUCUUGCUCCACAGACGCUUCCCGUCGGACUCUUGUUCCCUCGUCACGGAGCCCCGCGCGCUCAAAGCCCCUCAAAGAACUCUCUGUCUCCCCACCGCCUCCCCUAGAGGCCGCCCGAGCCCCCUCGCGUCCCCGCCCCCGCGGCACCCCCUCGGCCGCGUCGCCAGCUCCCCCGGCCCCUCUCUCGGUCGCCGAUCCCCGUGUCCUGAGGGGACGCCCCGGCUCGAGCGGGGUGGGGGAGGCGGCGGCGGCGGCGGGAGGGAGAACGUGAAGCGGCCCCUCGCGCGCUCCCUCCCCGGCUCGGCCGCCGCCACCGGGUGGAGGAGGAGGAGGAGGAGCCGAGGAGAGGAGAGCCCAGCGAGCGCGGAAGGUGAGAGCCGGCCUCCCGCCCGGGACUCCCAGCGGCGCGAGCGCGGGGUGAGGGGCCGGGGGCUGGCCGCUCUGUCCGACCGACAAAGGCCCCCAGUGCACCCCCGGCGCGGCCGCCCGGCUCCGACGCUGGGGACCGCGGGCACCCUGCGCGGGCGGGGGAGGGGCGGGGAGCGACGCCCUCCCGGACUUGGCGGCCCCCAGGCGCUCGCCCCUGGCCGCGGCGUCCGAGUGCGUGCGCGUGGAACGCCCCCCGGGGCGGGCCGGGGCUCCCCGGGAAUCCACUCCUGGGAAGUCGCGCCUCGAGAGUGCUUGAGUUCUGCAGCCCUCCCCCAUCCCCGGGCAGCUCCGCGAGUCGUGGCGUUAAGCAGGGGAAGGAGAAUUAGGCUGUUUGAUGUUCAUUAUUCCAUUUCAGAAGGCAUUGUUAUAGCCUUUACUGUCUUCAGUGUUUUAACAGCAAAAAAAAUGCUGGGAGUGUUUUGGAAGAAUACUUGA
rnacentral:lncRNA from 1 species